CUUGGUAGCUUAGUUGGUAAAGCGCUAAUCUAGCAUACAAGAGUCCUGGGUUCGAAUCCCAGCCGAG
rnacentral:tRNA from 1 species